CUUAAGUCUGAUGUGAAAGCCCACGGCUCAACCGUGGAGGGUCAUUGGGAACUGGGAGACUUGAGUGCAGAAGAGGAAAGUGGAAUUCCAUGUGUAGCGGUGAAAUGCGUAGAGAUAUGGAGGAACACCAGUGGCGAAGGCGACUUUCUGGUCUGUAACUGACACUGAGGCGCGAAAGCGUGGGGAGCAAACAAGAUUAGAUACCCUGGUAGUCCACGCCGUAAACGAUAAGUGCUAAGUGUUAGAGGGUUUCCGCCCUUUAGUGCUGAAGUUAACGCAUUAAGCACUCGCCUGGGGAGUACGGCCGCAAGGCUGAAACUCAAAGGAAUUGACGGGGGCCCGCACAAGCGGUGGAGCAUGUGGUUUAAUUCGAAGUAACGCGAAGAACCUUACCAGGUCUUGACAUCCUCUGAAAACCCUAGAGAUAGGGCUUCUCCUUCGGGAGCAGAGUGACAGGUGGUGCAUGGUUGUCGUCAGCUCGUGUCGUGA
rnacentral:rRNA from 1 species